rnacentral:rRNA from 1 species
GAUGAACGCUGACAGAAUGCUUAACACAUGCAAGUCUUUGGCGAAGCUGUGCUUGCACAGCCUAGCCAAGGCGGACGGGUGAGUAACGCGUAAGGAACUUGCCCUGCAGUCAGGGAUAACAGACGGAAACGACUGAUAAGACCUGGUAAAGUCAGGCGGACUCAUGUCCAGCCUGAUGAAAAGAGAUGCUGCAGGAGAGCCUUGCGUCCUAUUAGCUUGUUGGUGGGGUAACGGCCCACCAAGGCGAUGAUAGGUAGCCGGCCUGAGAGGGUGGACGGCCACAAGGGGACUGAGAUACGGCCCUUACUCCUACGGGAGGGAGCAGUGGGGAAUAUUGGACAAUGGGGGCAACCCUGAUCCAGCAAUUCUGUGUGCACGAUGAAGGUUUUCGGAGUGUAAAGUGCUUUCAGCAGGGAAGAAAAAAAUGACGGUACCUGCAGAAGAAGCGACGGCUAAAUACGUG